UCCCUCACCUGUACGUUUUAUUUACGUUUACUGUACAAAGUGAAAACUGCGAUACGGCGGAUACGACGGAUACGGCAAGGCUCGUGCCGAUUUAAGCUUGAAAUGCAUCGGAAAUGCAGAGCUGGCCACCGAAUUGUGGAUAAGGUGAAACAAAACAUUCACCGGGACGAACAUCUGCGGUGAUGGGAAGCUACCAGAGAAGCGAUACCGUGUUCCAGUAAUCCACUCUGGAGGAGUUAAGCUCCAAUCUGAUGAAGCAACCAAUUCAAGUGCGAAGCCAAAUUAAAAUCGAGCGUUCUGGAUGCAAUUCAAAGGAAAACCGCAAGGAACCUACAGCCACGGUGAGAUUGAUGAUGCGGAACAAGCAACUUCCCCAGCAAGCACGGAGUUUUCAGCUAAAAAUAAUUUUGAGCGAGGCAUGCGAGGCUUUCCAGCGAUGUUGAUCGAGGCAUGUGGCGGCGGCCAAGGCAGGUGUCGACGUUAGUAAACUGACCUAGGCGAAGGCCGUAGUAAGCAGAGUAUGGCUAGUCGAUACGAGGACAUCGCUUAAUAAGCAGAAUCGUUUCGGCAAAUUGGACUGCCUUGAGAAGCCUACCAAAAAUCUCCAUCGCACUCCAAAUAAGGCAUAUAACAGCUGUCUCUGCAGAAGCAGUUUACACCAAUACGUCUUAGCUGUUUGAUAAGCCCAAUCAAAGAGCUUACCACCAUACCCGUUACUGCAAGUCCCACCAAGGUCUCAGCUCGUCAUCGUUUCCAAACUUUUGCCGAAUCAGAUACACCCUUCCUUCAAUUGCCCUACAAGCACCGCAGCCUGGCCGAACUGUUCAAGUGUAUCGUCAUAGUUUGUGCCACGUUCUACAACCACAAGGAACAAAUCACCUUCAAGAAAAAAACUUGUACGAAAGCCAUGCACAAAUUAAAACCCUAUUCCGAACAUAAA